UUARAGUUUGAUCCUGGCUCAKAACRAAYGCUGGCGGCGUGCCUAACACAUGCAAGUCGAACGGAUUUGAGGGGCUUGCUUCUCAAGUUAGUGGCGCACGGGUGAGUAACGCGUAGAUAAUCUGCCUGAUGAUCUGGGAUAACACUUCGAAAGGGGUGCUAAUACCGGAUAAGCCCACGGAGUCUUUGGACUUUGCGGGAAAAGGGGGGGACCUUCGGGCCUUCUGUCAUCAGAUGAGUCUGCGUACCAUUAGCUAGUUGGUGGGGUAAUGGCCCACCAAGGCUACGAUGGUUAGCUGGUCUGAGAGGAUGAUCASCCACACUGGAACUGARACACGGUCCAGACUCCUACGGGAGGCAGCAGUGGGGAAUUUUGCGCAAUGGGGGAAGCCCUGACGCAS
rnacentral:rRNA from 1 species